AAUGAACGCUGGCGGCGCGCCUAAUACAUGCAAGUCGAGCGAGAAGACGUAGCAAUACGUUUGUAAAGCGGCGAACGGGUGAGGAAUACAUGGGUAACCUACCCUCGAGUGGGGAAUAACUAGCCGAAAGGUUAGCUAAUACCGCGUACGCUCCUUGGACUUCGGUUCAGGGAGGAAAGCGAUACCGUGGGUAUCGCGCUCUUGGUUGGGCUCAUGUCCUAUCAGCUUGUUGGUGAGGUAACGGCUCACCAAGGCUUCGACGGGUAGCUGGUCUGAGAGGACGAUCAGCCACACUGGCACUGCGACACGGGCCAGACUCCUACGGGAGGCAGCAGUAAGGAAUAUUGCGCAAUGGGCGAAAGCCUGACGCAGCGACGCCGCGUGGGGGAUGAAGGUCUUCGGAUUGUAAACCCCUUUCGGGAGGGAAGAUGGAACGAGCAAUCGUUCGGACGGUACCUCCAGAAGCAGCCACGGCUAACUUCGUGCCAGCAGCCGC
rnacentral:rRNA from 1 species